rnacentral:rRNA from 1 species
CAAAGGAGCAAUCCGCUGAAAGAUGGGCUCGCGUCCGAUUAGGUAGUUGGUGAGGUAACGGCCCACCAAGCCGACGAUCGGUAGCCGGGCUGAGAGGUUGGACGGCCACAUUGGGACUGAGACACGGCCCAGACUCCUACGGGAGGCAGCAGUAAGGGAUAUUGGUCAAUGGGGGAAACCCUGAACCAGCAACGCCGCGUGAGGGAAGACGGUUUUCGGAUUGUAAACCUCUGUCCUCUGUGAAGAUGAUGACGGUAGCAGAGGAGGAAGCUCCGGCUAACUACGUGCCAGCAGCCGCGGUAAUACGUAGGGAGCGAGCGUUGUCCGGAUUUACUGGGUGUAAAGGGUGCGUAGGCGGCUGUGCAAGUCAGUAGUGAAAUCCAUGGGCUUAACCCAUGAACUGCUAUUGAAACUGCACAGCUUGAGUGAAGUAGAGGUAGGCGGAAUUCCCGGUGUAGCGGUGAAAUGCGUAGAGAUCGGGAGGAACACCAGUGGCGAAGGCGGCCUACUGGGCUUUAACUGACGCUGAGGCACGAAAGCGUGGGUAGCAAACAGGAUUAGAUACCCUGGUAGUCCACGCUGUAAACGAUGAUUACUAGGUGUGGGGGGACUGAACCCUUCC